UACUACUUGGAUAACCGUAGUAAUUCUAGAGCUAAUGUAUUCAAAUAUGUUGCCAAGGUAAUGAUGCAACAACCUGAUGGAGGAUCCAUGAUUGCUACUGCUAGCGUUGCGGGAAUUAGA
rnacentral:rRNA from 16 species